rnacentral:ncRNA from 1 species
UAUCUUCAGGGCGGGGUGAAAGUCCCCACCGGCGGUGAAUGGCAAAGCCAUGAGUCCGCGAACCGCUGAGGCGGCCGAUCCGGUGCAACUCCGGAACCGACGGUAUAGUCCGGACGAAAGAAGAG